rnacentral:rRNA from 1 species
CACGUAGGGCGCAAGCGUUUGUCCGGAAUUAUUGGGCGUAAAGAGCUCGUAGGCGGUCUGUUGCGUCCGCUGUGAAAACUCGGGGCUUAACCCCGAGCCUGCAGUGGAUACGGGCAGACUAGAGGUAGGUAGGGGAGAAUGGAAUUCCCGGUGUAGCGGUGAAAUGCGCAGAUAUCGGGAGGAACACCGGUGGCGAAGGCGGCUUUCUGGACAGUAACUGACGCUGAGGCGCGAAAGCUAGGGGAGCAAACAGG